rnacentral:lncRNA from 1 species
CGGAGCCCGGAAUGGAUCCGUCCUGGAAAUAAAUAAAUAAACCCGCGGCUGCUCCGGGUGUGUGCUGCGUGCACCUGAGGCCGACCUGUGAUUCACCGCGGGAGGGAUGGCAGAGACAACGCUCUGGGGAAGUCCACAGUGACUCCUCCACCAGGACGCCGCUGGUUGUAGGAAAAGCACGCGGACGGGAAGCCACACUCACCGAAAACCUCAGUAAACUAAAUUUAUGAGUUUACAUCUGUUUCAUCAAUGACCACGGUGCACACCUGUUUGGCUUCAUGGCCGGCAACUACAGAUCUAGUAUCCAAGAUCAAGAGGGACAAUUACAUAUUAUAAGCUGCACGGAGAAGAGUAAUCAAG